UGGGCAACAAGAGCGAAACUCCAUCUCAAAAAAAAAAAAAGAAAAGAAAAAAGAAGAGAGAGAUUCUACAGAGACAUAUUGGAGCUCGCUCAAAUGUGAGCCACCAGAUAAGGGCUGCUGGAAGGAGGCGAAGAAAGAUGACUCAGAACAUGACAUCUGUCUUCAUGUGAAAGAAUGGGUAGAACUGAUGUGGCACUACGAAUUAUCUGUAGGGCAAAGGACUGGAAGUUAAUUGAAGAUAGAUUUUAAUUCAAAACAAGGAUCAGUUCUUUAAGAGUCUGAAGAAGGGUUAUUUUAGGAAGUAGCUGCCUCUGCCCCCUUCCCACCUGUUGCAGUGGAUCAAAUAUACACUGAAUCACUACCUCAUUCAUUCAACACUCAUUUCAUGAAGGCUUAACGCAUUGCUGUGGGGCUUACUCUGCCGCCGACCUGGGGCCUAGCUAGGCUUUGUAGUCUAUAUAGUCUCAUAGUCCUGCAAACUGGCUCCAGCCCAGGAAAUCACCCUGUGUAGGAGUGGCUGCAGUCAAGACGCAGGAAGACAAUCCUGAGGGGACCUGACAUCCAGCAUCUGAGUUCAGACUACUAUAGUUUGAAUAAGUGACCUGCAGAUUCAUUACACACAAGGGAACAUGUCUUCCUUUUGUUGGAUUGAACUCUGUGAUACCAAGCAGUCAAAACUACCUGUCAGAUGUCCAAUCCCUGAUCCAGAAUUUCAAGGAGCUGUGGAGGCAGCUGUACAAUGGGAGUGUCAUAAACCAGAGAACUUUGUGUCCAGGCUAUGUCUAUUAGGUGAGUAUAUGGUGAGAAGGCAGCUGUCUGUGAACCAGAAGGAGGGCCCUCACCAAGAAGUGACCAUGCUGGCACCCUGAUCUUGGACUUCUGGCAUCUGGAACUUUUAUUCUCUCCACAGUGGUCGGGGCAGUCUGAGAGAAUACGGUGGAAUCGAUGGUAUGCGACUUCCAAGGUUAGGUCAUAAAAGACAUUGAAGUUUCUGCUUUGUCUCUUGAAUCACUUUCUCUGGGGGAAACCAGCUACUGGGUCAUAAGGACACUCAAGCAGCACCAUGGAGGGGCCCAAGUGGAGAGAAACCAACUUGCCAGCAUUAACUUGGUAGUUGUGCAGCCAUGUGAAUGAGUGGAUCCUACCAUCCUAGUCAAACCUCUGAUAACUGAAGGUCCCACCUAUAUUUGACUGCAGUCUUCCAACAGACCCCACCCAAGCUGCUCUAGGAUUCCUGACCUACAGAAACUGUGAGGGAUAAGAUAUGCUUGUUGUUUUAACCCACUAAGUUUUAGAGUGAUUUGUUACACAGCAAUAUACAACAAAUACACAAGUCAUCACAGAAAGUUUGCUUGCUUUCAAGCCUGGAACGCCUGGGACCUUCAGUGAACCUCUUCCUCAGAUACAUGCCUGCGUAGUGUCAACUUGCUCUAUUGCUGGGAAGUGCUUGGCUGAUUAUCUUCUUCCUGCCCUGGGAGAUGUCUCACUAAUCAUUCAUUCAUUCAGCAAACAUUACAACGUUCCAGGCACUGUGCUAACUACUGAAUAUUCAGUGAUAUAGGAUAAAAUCUCUGUCCUAAAGUUGCUUGCAGUCAGAUGGGAGAAAAGCAAGUAAAUACAACAAUUUGUGAGCUUUAAAAAAGACCUAUAACAUCUUGUGAAGGAGGGGCAGAACUUAUCAUCCUCAACUAACAUAGAGAAAAUUGUCUCAUAGAGCAGGAGCUGAUAGCCCUUGGCUUUCUGGAUGGAGGAGACAGCAAUGGAGUGGAGGGAUUUCUCAGGAAUCUCCCCCAGGGGCUGCUCUAC
rnacentral:lncRNA from 1 species